ACGAGUAAAAUAUCUGAUUGCGAUUAUUUUGACUGAUAUUCUGACUGCGAUAGGAUUCACGAUAUGGGAGGGAAUGAUAAUUUUUCUAGCAUUUUCAUUG